GUACACAAAAAUGCACAUAUUGUGAGCUCGAUGAGUAGGGCGGGACACGUGGUAUCCUGUCUGAAUAUGGGGGGACCAUCCUCCAAGGCUAAAUACUCCUGACUGACCGAUAGUGAACCAGUACCGUGAGGGAAAGGCGAAAAGAACCCCGGCGAGGGGAGUGAAAAAGAACCUGAAACCGUGUACGUACAAGCAGUGGGAGCCUCUUUAUGGGGUGACUGCGUACCUUUUGUAUAAUGGGUCAGCGACUUAUAUUCUGUAGCAAGGUUAACCGAAUAGGGGAGCCGAAGGGAAACCGAGUCUUAACUGGGCGUUAAGUUGCAGGGUAUAGACCCGAAACCCGGUGAUCUAGCCAUGGGCAGGUUGAAGGUUGGGUAACACUAACUGGAGGACCGAACCGACUAAUGUUGAAAAAUUAGCGGAUGACUUGUGGCUGGGGGUGAAAGGCCAAUCAAACCGGGAGAUAGCUGGUUCUCCCCGAAAGCUAUUUAGGUAGCGCCUCGUGAAUUCAUCUCCGGGGGUAGAGCACUGUUUCGGCAAGGGGGUCAUCCCGACUUACCAACCCGA
rnacentral:rRNA from 1 species